GUCGAACGAAACUUCUUUAUCACCGAGUGCUUGCACUCACCGAUAAAGAGUUGAGUGGCGAACGGGUGAGUAACACGUGGGCAACCUGCCCAAAAGAGGGGGAUAACACUUGGAAACAGGUGCUAAUACCGCAUAACCAUAGUUACCGCAUGGUAACUAUGUAAAAGGUGGCUAUGCUACCGCUUUUGGAUGGGCCCGCGGCGCAUUAGCUAGUUGGUGGGGUAAAGGCUUACCAAGGCAAUGAUGCGUAGCCGAACUGAGAGGUUGAUCGGCCACAUUGGGACUGAGACACGGCCCAAACUCCUACGGGAGGCAGCAGUAGGGAAUCUUCCACAAUGGGCGAAAGCCUGAUGGAGCAACGCCGCGUGGGUGAAGAAGGUCUUCGGAUCGUAAAACCCUGUUGUUAGAGAAGAAAGUGCGUGAGAGUAACUGUUCACGUUUCGACGGUAUCUAACCAGAAAGCCACGGCUAACUACGUGCCAGCAGCCGCGGUAAUACGUAGGUGGCAAGCGUUAUCCGGAUUUAUUGGGCGUAAAGGGAACGCAGGCGGUCUUUUAAGUCUGAUGUGAAAGCCUUCGGCUUAACCGGAGUAGUGCAUUGGAAACUGGGAGACUUGAGUGCAGAAGAGGAGAGUGGAACUCCAUGUGUAGCGGUGAAAUGCGUAGAUAUUAGGAGGAACACCAGUGGCGAAGGCGGUCUGCUGGACAGCAACUGACGCUGAGGCGCGAAAGCGUGGGGAGCAAACAGGAUUAGAUACCCUGGUAGUCCACGCUGUAAACGAUGGAUACUAGGUGUGGGGGGACUGACCCCCUCCGUGC
rnacentral:rRNA from 1 species